rnacentral:rRNA from 1 species
GGAAUGGUUUCAAGGUCGUGCCAGCUACGCUCUUACCAAAGAAGAGAAGGUCAUUUUUUUGAAUGCCUGAGCAGUAUGAAGGUUCCGUCUGGCUUCUCGUCGAAUAUAAAGGGAAUAAUAAACAUGGCGGAGAAAAAGUUCCAAAACCUGAAGUCUCACGACUGCCACGUGAUUAUGACGCAAUUGCUUCCGAUUGCUUUGAGGGGGCUCCUACCGGAAAAUGUUCGAGUAGCCAUUGUGAAGCUAUGUGCAUUCCUCAAUGCAAUCUCUCAGAAGGUAAUCAAUCCAGAAGAUCUACCACGGUUACAGAACGAUGUGGUCCAAUGCCUUGUCAGUUUCGAGUUGGUGUUCCCACCAUCCUUCUUCGAUAUUAUGACGCACCUCCUGCUCCACCUAGUCGAAGAGAUUUUCAUUCUCGGUCCUGUAUUUCUACACAAUAUGUUCCCCUUUGAGAGGUUCAUGGGAGUA